rnacentral:lncRNA from 1 species
CGGAGAGCUCCUGCAGAGCGGGCUCAGCCCGUCCAGUUGCCAUUAGUUACCCGGACGCACCGCCCACCCCACAUCCACAUAAAAUGCUCCCUCACGUCGCUUCUGGAACAUCCCUCCACGCUCACCCAUUGGCCCCUAGAGCUCGAAACAGGCUCCUAAGAGCCUCCUCGACACUUCCUCAGAGCCCCUGAAUUGCGGGACCCUUCAGGCUGGGAUCCCAGGCCCCCUAGGACCAAGAAGAGGAGAAAAAGGAAUCAGUCCUACAUCAAGCGGCCUGGAGGGGAGCAAGCCACACACACCUCUGGGAACCCUCAGGCUGAUGGAAGAGACAGGGUCCAUCUGAGACUGAUGCCGAGGUCCUGCUGUUCCCACCUCUGAGGAAGAGAGAAGAGGAAGCUGAGGCAAAAAGAGUUUAAAAGCAACUUGCCCAGGGUCACAUAGCUGAUAAGGAACCAAGUUGAGAUUCAAACCCAGAUCUGCCUGACUCCAGAGUUUGAGCUUUUGAACACUGUCUGUCCCUCCAGUGAAAACCAGGAAGCACCCACCCUCAGGAAGGACUGAAUAUACAUAUUUAGCAUUUGUAGUGUUUGUAUCAUGUUUAUCACUCCAUGAGUUGCUUGUUUUUUCCUGCUUCUGCUCAUAUCAAAAGUAUGAGUUAGGGGCCGGCCUGGUGGCACAGCGGUUAAGUGCGCAUGUUGGGCUUCCGUGGCCCGGGGUUCACCAAUUCAGAUCCUGGGUGUGGUCAGGGCACCGCUUGGCAAGCCAUGCUGUGGUAGGCAUCCCACAUAUAAAGUAGAGGAAGAUGGGCACAGAUGUUAGCUCAGGGCCAGUCUUCCUCAGCAAAAAGAGGAGGAUUGGCAGCAGUUAGCUCAGGGCUAAUCUUCCUCAAAAAAAAAAAGGUACGAGUUAGUCUGUGAGCUCCCAAAGGGU